CUUAUGUUGUACUGUUAUACCACUGUCCCAGGUUAGGGGGAGGGUUGGGAUCCCGCUAACAUGUUUAACCCCGACACAUUAUUUAUGUAUGUGCCUGUCCCAAGUCAGGAGCCUGUAAUUCAGUGGUUGUCGUUUGUUUAUGUGUUACAUAUUUGUUUUUCGUUCAUUUUUUCACAUAGAUAAGGCCGUUAGUUUUCUCGUUUGAAUUGUUUUACAUUGUC
rnacentral:lncRNA from 1 species